UACGGAGGGUGCAAGCGUUAUCCGGAUUCACUGGGUUUAAAGGGUGCGUAGGAGGGCAGGUAAGUCAGUGGUGAAAUCUCCAAGCUUAACUUGGAACUGCCGUUGAUACUAUCUGCCUUGAAUAUUGUGGAGGUGAGCGGAAUAUGUCAUGUAGCGGAUGAAAUGCUUAGAUAUGAACAUAGAACACCAAAUUGCGAAGGCAGCUCACUACACAAUCAUGACUCUGAGCACGAAAGCGUGGGGAUCAAACAGG
rnacentral:rRNA from 1 species